GCUUGGGACCAACCUCCCUCUGGCUGACUCUCCUUCUCGUGUAUUGAAAGGAUGGAAGAAAGUGGGAACAAGGUGGCUAAAAAUUUUAAAAGGUGGGUAUGCCUGCCUGUCACAGAUCUCCUACAAAAAUUACGGAAUGGAGAGAGAUCCCCUCAAAAGGAGGUAUGUAGGCCUUUUUGUAGGUGAUUGGAGGGGAGAGGUUUUGUAUUUUUUUAGAUGUGGGACUAAUGAAGAUUAGAAAAUGGACGGAUGAGAUUUGAGAACAAGAAGGAUAAGGCAAGCCAUUCAAUUUUAAAUCUCUCUUUAAAAAAAAAAUCUCGAUCGCGACGUCUCUGAUUUUAUUUCCACGUGAAGGACGCGUGCAGUUGCACGUCUAUUCUCUGGCCCGAUGCCCACUUGCAUGGAGCCCAUGGUCCCACAUGGCAUCCGUCGUAUUGUUUACUCAUUUGAAUUUAAUGUGUGCCAGCAACGCCCAAGUCCAAAGAACAUCGUUGGUCCCGUUUGAAGCCCAAGUCCACAUGCUUGAUUGAACUCCAAGCUGCCAAGAACAUGUGAAAACUAUUACUGUAUCCUUCACGGCUCAUCACUUUCCUAUGGACCAAGUGGUCUAUGGUGGACCACCAACUUGCAUAUUGGAUUGGAUUGACUUUCGGCUUUGAAUUUAAUUCCAUUUUAACUCUGUUUUUUAUCUCGUUUGAUCCCUCUAAGCCUGCAGAUCGGGCUCUUCAUGUUGAUGCAGCUCUUUUCUGUAAAAUAUACGAAGAAGUAUCAAUUUGAAAAGAAUAAAGAUAAUUUGAUUUAUAAAUUAAUACUUCUAUGAGCAAAUUUAUACACCUAUCACUUGCCUUUAGGUAACUAUUGUUCUAGAUGUACGUGUAGUUGUAGAGUUGGAAUUAGGCUAAGCUGGGUCAUGUUUCCAUGCAGCUUGGUCCCAGUCUAGAGAAGUUUUAGAUUUAGGGUCUGGAGGCCUUAUUUUUUUCAAAUUAUUAUACUAGUCUGAGUCCAACUCAAGCUGCCUCGAAGCCCAAUUGAGCCAGCCUGGAUUAAGGUCCAAGACCAUUUCUAUCUGAUGCCAAACAAGAGGGAACAUAGGGGG
rnacentral:lncRNA from 1 species